rfam:Felis catus isolate Cinnamon breed Abyssinian chromosome E1, whole genome shotgun sequence.
GCCUGGGUGGCUCAGUCAGUUGAGCAUCUGACUUCGGCUCAGGUCACGAUCUCACGGUUCGCGAGUUGGAGCCCCGCCUCAGGCU